rnacentral:lncRNA from 1 species
AAUCUCUUUCCCUGGGAGUGUCAACUUACGUGGUUUAUUUAGCUUUCUAAGCAAUUUUGUAAUUCACUCAUUCGCUAUAAAAAAACUGAAUACUUUUAUAUGAGAAAAAUCUGUGCUAACUACCAGAGAUACGGCAGUGACCAAGACAGACAUGGUUGAUCCCUGCCUUUGGGUUUCUUUCAGUCUAAUGGAGAAGACAGACAAUGAAAGGAGAAUUAUAAAUAGUCUUUGAAUCUAGUUCCCUAAUAUUAACAUCCAGGGAAACUUAAAUAUAUGUAUAAACAAGUACGAGGGACGGGAAAUUGGCUUCUGGAUUUUGCAAGUAGAUUCAGAAGGCUGUCUGGUAUCUGUCAACCUCAGACUGGCUUCUCAGCAUCCAUAAAAAUGUGAUUAUCUUCCCUUUAAAAAUAUUAUCAAGGAAGAGCAGAGGUGAAUGUGGCUCUCAAGGCUCCCAAUGUCUAAGUCUCCGGAAUACUAACUCUGAAAGUCUAACUCUGAAAGAGAAGGGAAGAGGAUAAUGGGGGCUCUUCUUGGAUUUCCUGAUUUAGCAAACACAAAACAAACUAUGUUUGAAUUUUAGUGAGUGACAAAUACUUUGGUCAUCUCAGUAUGUCCCAAAUAUUAUAUGGGACAUACUUACUGAAAAAAAAUAAACUUUCUUGCUUAUUUUAAGCUCAAAUUUAACUUGACAUAGUAUAUUUUAAUUCCACAGCCCUAAGGAGAAUAAGAGUAAAGACAGUGAAAAAAUCUCCACACUCUGUCUCAAAGUGAAUACUUGGAGGAGAUUUUUCUUUUAGCUUGGGAACAAUGACAGUAAGAACUUAAACUUGUGUAGGAACACAUUUGAAAAUACUAUUUCUAAUAAUAGGAAAACAGUAAGGAAUGUCAUGGAUGAUUUUUAAUAAAAAGAAUUUUGAAGUCAGAACUUUGAGAGGUUGAAAGUUUGGGAAACUGCACAUCCAGUAUUUCCCUUUUAACAAUCAUGCUGUGCAAUAGCAUCAUAGAAGUUCUGAGAAGUCUUACAGGAAACAUACCUGGUUGACCUGGUUUAACCUGGCUUGCCCACAGAAUGCUAUUUAAGGGGUUUCUCUGUUUGUUUUGGUAUGUUUGUUUUAUAAGGACACCUAGUAACAUCAUGCAGACUUACUACUCUGCUCAACAUACUUUGGGAACAAUGGUAUUUAAAAAAAAAAGUGGUCUUCAAAUAUCCAGUGUGCUGCUGCGUAGGAAGGAAGCAGACUCAGUCUUUGUAAACCAAAAGGUAGACUGCACCUAAGACACACAAUCAGGAGGUAGAUUUUCAGCUCAACAUGAAGUCUAGAACUUUGUAACAAUUUGAGUAGUCUGAAAGGUAAGGAUGCCCUUGUAACUGAUGACAUUAAAGCAGGAAUGGAAUGCUAUCGGGGACACUGGAGGAAAUUCUUUCUCUGUGUAGGAAGUUCUCUGGGUCUGCUGAGAAAGGCACAUUCAUAUAAAACACGGAAAGGCCUCUACUCAAACUUUCUUUAAAAACUGCACCACAUGUUCUGUGUCUUUUCUGAAGCCAUGUCCAUUCCUCCUAAUCUCUCCUUAAUGUGUUUCCUUCACAUCUAUGAGCCAAGCAUAUGUCAUGUCAACCCCUCAAGGAGAUCAUUCUCUAGCAGGAAUGAUCUUUGUUUUGAUCUGGGCCUUGUUCUAAUCUAGACCUGCUAUCUUGGGUCACCCACCCUGAGCCUCUGGGAGAGGCCUAAAACCUCAGAUGUGCCUAGAGCUCACAGACCUGCGUGGCAUCCCAGGAAAAAACAGGAUCUGGAGAAAUCCUGGCUCAUGGGUCCAUGGUACAGCACCCAUCACCAAGCAUCUGAGAUUCGUGGCACAAGGCCAUCCAACAGAGAGACAGCCAAACCCCAAAUCUGCCCCUCCUGGGGUCUGUGAUCU